CGCACCCUUCUUCCCUUUCUCUCUCCUUCUCUCCAAAUUCCCAUUUCCUAUUUGCUUCUCCCAGCCGCCCACCCCUCUAUGAACCCCUCUCCCUGUCUCUCAUUCUCCAUCGCGUUGCUAGCCCUCGGCCCCUCGCUUGAGCUCGCUCACCGUCGCUAGCCCUCAGCCCCUCGCUCGCUCUUGGCUUUCCCUCGCUCGAGCUCGCCUGCCGUCGCUAGCCCUCGGCCCCUCGCUCGAGCUCGCCCUCGGCCCCUCACUUGUGCUCACCCUCGGCCGCCAUGGCUAGCCCUCAGCCCCUCACUUGCUCUCGCCCUCCCCUGGCUCGAGCUCGCCCUCAGCUCCUCACCCGCCGUCGCUUGCGCUCGCCCUCGGCCCCUCGGUCGUCGUCGUUGACUUGCUCUCGCCUCUCGCAGUUCCUCAGGUGGUGAUGCCUCACUUACCACACAUGCUUCAACAUCAUUGUCAGCUCCACUACAGCCCCCAGCAUCCUCCCUAGCUCCACCACAGCCUCCAACAUUCUCCUUAUCUCCACCACAACCUCCAUUAUUUGCGCAUGCUCCAUCACAACCUCUAGCAUCUAGCCAGAUUCCAUCAGGAGCAUCCAUCCCAAAUCCACCACAACAUUCGGAAUCCACACGCUCGUCUACAUCACAUCGUUACUGGACAUUUAAUGUGAUAGAUGAAGAAGGACUUAUAAAACAGGAAAAACUAAUGGUUAAAGAUGUUUGGUUACUAGCACGUGGAAGGCGUGUUAUGUUAGAGUUCAAUGAAUCACUCCAACCAAUUGGAGAUCCAGCUAGACUUCUUGGAGGGAUUUUAGAAGAAUUAGCCUAUGAUUUUGUUGCUUUUCCCGUCAACUAUGAAAGUUGGCACAAAGUACUGAAGACAUACAAAGAAGAAAUUUAUAAAAAUAGAAUCAUGGAAAAAUUUAAUGUUGACGAGGGGCCUGCUAAAAUUUUUAUUUUGAAGAACAUUGGGAAGAAAUGGAAGGACACUAGAUGUAAAUUAUACCAUGAGUGGUAUGAUCCCACCAUUGGUCGAGAAACAAAUAUUACAAAGCAUCCAUCGGGAAUAUCUCAAGACCAAUGGGCAAGUUUUAUUGACUAUCGUGAACGAGAUAAGAUUAAGGUGAUGUUACUAAUUUUGUUUAUAAGAUUACGAAUAUUUAUACGACAAAGUGGUUAGGAUUAAACUAAUGAUGUUUUUGUUGGAUAUCUAGGAGAUAUGUCAAAAAAAUAUUGAAAAUCGAUUCAAAUUGACAAUUCCACACACAGGAGGAUCGAAGAGUCUAGCAAGGAAAAAAUAUGAGAUGGUAAUAUUGCAAAAAUUUAUCCUAAGUAUGAAUUUUUUAUUCUAACAUCAACUAAUAUUUAUGUGAAAUUGUUCUAAAUUAUAGGAAAUUGAGAGUGGUCAGCCUGUGAGUAGGGGUCUAUUAUACAUCACGACGUAUAAGAAGAAAGAUUGAUAUUUUGUAAAUGAAGGAGCACAAACUAUAAGCAUAAGUUUUUUUUUGUAUCAUAACCAUUCCAUUUUUUGAAUCAUAGAAGAAGCUUUUAUCUAUAUUAUGCUUUAUUAGUAAACGAGUUAUAAGUUUAGUUAAACUUGCUAGCAGAAAACAUGCAUAUAUGAGAACUGAUGGAUGAUUAGUGUGAGCCCAUAUGACCCAGAAGACUGUUUAACUUCUUUUGUUUGAAUUUCAAAGGAAGACCAUUGACGUUUGGAUGUUCCUUUGGAAUUUGAAACAGGCAUCUCCUACAUUUGACACAAUCCUUCGGUCUUCAUUUGUUUCUUUUUUUAAAAUAAAAAACAUAUAACACAAUCUUAGUAAGCCUACUUAAUUUGAAUAGCUCAAAUUAAAUGAAAAUCUUGUGUUUUUUUUUAAAGUAACGAGACUCAGUUUGGUCAAAGUUAUGUCAAAUGAAAGAAAAAAAAAAUGUUUCACAAGGCUGGCCCCAAUUUGUAGUACGUAAAAGCAUCAAAUGUUUUUGCUUAUUUUAAAAAAUAUACUAAAAACUAAAGUUAAGGGGAAACAGACAGGAGUGCAUGGUUUAUGAUUUUCCUACUUAUAUUGGUGUUCAGUAGGCUUUUGGUUUAUGAUUUGCAGAAGAUGCUAAUUUUUGAGAUGUUCACAAAAGCGAAUGACUGAAUUGCAAGUUCUUAAUUUAUAUUUUUUGUGCGCAUGGGCUCAGGGGCCAGAUGGAAGUUUUGGAUUACUGGUGAUGUAAACAAGCUUCUUAGUGAGAUCUUCUCUAACCUUUUUUAUAGCAUGGGAAACGACGAGACUUUGUUGGGGGAUUGUUUUUAUCUCCACUGUUGGCUCGACAUGGUCUCAUCAAUUUUAGAUGCAACCUCUAGAAUUGGGAGUUUUGAUUCUUUAACAAUCCUUUUUGAAUCUCUUAAUGUAGUGGCCAUUCCUUAUAUGAAUCUCUUAAUGUAGUUCAAUUAAUGACCACAACAUCGGCAUCAUUUUUUCAAGUAGCACAUUUUUUCCAUGUAGAUUCCAACUGUUCAAAAUAUGUCAUCCUGCUUCAUUAGUAGAAUUCAGAAAGAAGCAAAUUUCCUUUCUUGUUUUCCAUCUAUACUUAAGUCCUUUUAUUAGAUGAUUCACCUAAAUUGUGUUCUCCUGUGCAGUCAAAUUUCCUUUCUUGUAAGCUAUAUACUACCUGAAAUACUGCAGGCUUUUGAUAGCCAUAUAUGAUGACCUUACUUUUGCCAGUUUAAUUUUCUAAAUGACAUUAUGUGUUAUGGAAAAGUUAUUGAAAUGCACUCUUUCUACUUGUUUACCUCUGAAACUAUAAGUAAUAUUUACUCUCUCAGGGGGUGUUGCAAACACCAACUAGAGCUAUAGGUGUUCAUUCUGUAGUGGUUGAAUGAGAGCUAGUCAGAAGACUUAUUUUUUUUCCUCAAGGAGGAUGUUAGUAACGCUGUUGUCAAACAUUCAUGUUUUAGACACUUGCAGAGUGAGCAUCUUAGAUUGGAUAAUAUAUUUUCUUCUUUAUGAAAUGUUAUGGUGAUUACUUGUUCAAGAAUAGAGACUGAUGUGAAUCUUAGGAUGGAGUUUCUCUAAGAUCACAGCCAAACAGACUUUGUACAUUGAAGGGAUGGAGGACAGUUGAUUCAUGACAUGGCCUCUUUUUCUUUCUAUUUUUUGUUUUUUCUUUUUUCCUUAGCACGUUUAUAUUACAACCUUUUGAUACUAGUUUACCAGCUCAAAGCAAACAUGUGAUAAAAUUGUAUUUGUAGUGCCCGAAUAUUAAUAAGUAGGUUGUUAUUUAAUUAAAAUUUGAUUUUUAACUUGAACUCAAAACUGCAAUUUCAGCUGAAAUUAGGGUUGGGAAAUUUAGACGAGAGAGGUUGAAGAUGAUGAAGGGAUAGUUUUGAAGCAAUAUUAGGAAGGCAGUCAGCCAGGUAGCAUUUGUCUGGUCUUAUUUGGGCUUCUAAUUCAUAUCAUCCAGCUUUUUAACACACACACACACAUAUAUAUAUAUUGAUUUGAUGCAUUGGUUGGCUGGAUUGGAUGUUUUUAACUUCUUGUUAAAAUUCUUGCAUGUGCUUUGAGUCUUUGACUACGUCUAGAUGUGAGCAGUACUAUAACCAAUUAAAUAAUGCCCUUCACAUUUUCUUAUAUUUUGUUGAAGUUUUCCUUGUGACAAUUUUCCCACCUUUUUUUUGUGCGUGUUGUUCAAAAGACAUGUAAUAAUAAAGGUGAAUGUGACAUUGAAACUUUUGAGUAAGACCCAAAUCUUUUUCUGAGAUUUUUAUGAUUGAUAUUGUUUUUUAA